GGCGAUCGAGGUGAUGAAGUUGUCGUGGUUGACCUGAUAGGGCAACUCGGUGAUGACGAUCGCGGUGCGACCUCGCGAGUCCUCC
rnacentral:tRNA from 1 species